UCUCGUGUCAGUUCCGGGCUCUCCAGUGGCACAGUGGGCAGACCCUCGGGCUCCGGGUUCGAAUCCCUGUCCGCUCAACCUGACUCCUGAGAUCACCUCCUGCAGGUCGUCGUCGCACUGACUUACAGCUGCUAUUGAGUGUGUGAAGUAAUACUGUCCGACAUGUUCGCCCGGUGGUCGAGCAAUGCCGUAGCCAGGAUCUUGUGAAGGAGGUCCAGUGAAACCAUUACCUCAUAGUUUACGAGAAAGCCCCAAGCCACUGAAUUAUCAUUGAAAUAUCAUGAAAUAAAAAGGCAAAACAUUUAAUUUCAGUAACUAAUAUACAUAUAGCUAGUUACGUACAACAUUUUGAAAUUUAAGAGCUAGAAGAAAAUUCAAAAUAAGCUGAUACCAGAAGACUUGUGGCAUGGAAUAAAAUAAAGAAUGGGUGAUUUUUUUUCCGGUGGCCUUACAGUAACUUUAAUACAAACCAGCAUGUAUAUGUUUCUUAACGAGUUGUAUACAUCAAUAUUCCUGGGCUACAUGAAAACGUAUGUUUCUCUAGUCAAAUAUAUAUACCCUUCAUUAUAUUACUUUAGUUAGCACACAAAGCCUUAUCAUUUGAGAGAAAAUGUAUCGUCUGAUAUAAAAGACAGAAUCGAAACAUAAGACUAUAUAAUAUAUAAGUAAAAAAAUAAAAUAAAAUAAAUCCGAGAAUGAAAGUCCGCAAGUUCAUACUGCAGUUCUUAAUAUACCCUAUGAAAAACAUUCUUUUCUUGCAAAAGAAGUAUUUGAACAUCAUUCGUACCAAAAAAAAAAAAUAUUAAUUUAGCAGUAUCUCAUCAUUUGCUUGGAGAAAUUAUGUCACAAACAGUGAUGCGAACAGCCAGACACGCCCAUCAGUAAUCACAUUUAUGCAGGCAAUAAGACACGUGUAAAGUAAACACGAAGAAGGUUACACGUAAUACUAAGUAUAUUUUACAAGCUUAUACAGUAAUUAGCUUAACCAUUCAUUAAAUACUUAUUUUUAAAAAUGCUCACGUUAAAAGUAAUGUGAAAAAAAAGCUCUAAAAUAUAUACCAGAAUUUAUAUUUUUGAUACUGCAUGGAACCUUUGCAUGCUUUGUUUCUUUAUCACACCUAAUCUGGAUCAAAACAAACAGGGUUUAAAAAAUCUGCUAUAGAUAUAGAACCAACAGAUCAUAAAGGUUCUAUGUUUCCGUAAUACAUAAAUAAAAUUAAUUAAUUCCAUAAGUGUACAUCUAAAUCACUAAUGAUUACUGAAAGUGCGUAAUACUUAGUAGCACUACACAAAAAUUUAAAUUACAACCAAGAUCAUUCACAACCAACUAAAACGUUACCUAGACCUUAAAUGUAAGAAGAAUAUAUUAAGUUAAAACAUAAUUUAUGUAAAAAAAUUAUGUUUAUAGAAUACAUGUAGAACACUAUCAACUACCAUUCUGUCUGAGUAAAUGACUAUGCAAGAAUUGUAAUCAAUACUAAUAAUAUGAUCGUUUAGUGUAAACAGUCUGUAAAUUGCAUGGAUUAAAAAAAAAUAAUGGAAACGGAUAUCAACAUUAUUU